rnacentral:lncRNA from 1 species
GAUUGGCAUGACCAACAUUAUUGUGGGGCCAAAGGUGAAUACCUUUUUAAUGGUUGAUACAAAUUUGAUGCUGGUAUAAAUUUUCCAAUUCAAGGACCAAAUGUUGAUCAUUAGAGCUGGAAGAGAUCAAAGUUCCCCAGCUGCAUCUACUCCAUGUGUAUGGCCUUAAUGUGAUGCCAAGUGAACUUGAGUUGGAGAUCCUAUUGAGUUCAGCAUUCCUAAAGGUGCAGUGGCAACAAUUUGCCUAAGCCAGAGGCAGGAAUCUAGGUGUUUUAACCCAUUAGCAGCGGAUGGCAUGAUUUGGUGCAAAGGCAGAGUCGGUGAUAGACGCGGAUGGCACCAUGCCAGACAUGUAAUUCAGCUAUCCUACUGCAGACCUUUUUUUAAUACC